GAUGGUUCAUUCAAAUUUCUGCCCUAUCAACUUUCGAUGGUAGAGUAGUGGUCUACCAUGGUUUCAACGGGUAACGGGGAAUUAGGGUUCUAUUCCGGAGAGGGAGCCUGAGAAACGGCUACCACAUCCAAGGAAGGCAGCAGGCGCGCAAAUUACCCAAUCCCGACACGGGGAGGUAGUGACAAUAAAUACUGAUACAGGGCUCUUUUGGGUCUUGUAAUUGGAAUGAGUACAAUUUAAAUCUCUUAACGAGGAACAAUUGGAGGGCAAGUCUGGUGCCAGCAGCCGCGGUAAUUCCAGCUCCAAUAGCGUAUAUUAAAGUUGUUGCAGUUAAAAAGCUCGUAGUUGAACUUCAGAUCUGGUUGAGUGGUCCGCCUAACGGUGUGUUACUGCUUGACUGGGUCUUGUCUCUUGGUGAACCGUUGUGUUCUUUAUUGGAUGCUUCGGGGAACCAGGACUUUUACCUUGAGAAAAUUAGAGUGUUCAAAGCAGGCCUAUGCCCGAAUACAUUAGCAUGGAAUAAUAGAA
rnacentral:rRNA from 1 species